rnacentral:rRNA from 1 species
GUGGGGAAUCUUAGACAAUGGGGGAAACCCUGAUCUAGCCAUGCCGCGUGAGCGAUGAAGGCCUUAGGGUUGUAAAGCUCUUUCAGCUGGGAAGAUAAUGACGGUACCAGCAGAAGAAGCCCCGGCUAACUCCGUGCCAGCAGCCGCGGUAAUACGGAGGGGGCUAGCGUUGUUCGGAAUUACUGGGCGUAAAGCGCACGUAGGCGGAACAGAAAGUCAGAGGUGACAUACCAGGGCUCAACCUUGGAACUGCCUUUGAAACUCCUGUUCUUGAGUUCGAGAGAGGUGAGUGGAAUUCCGAGUGUAGAGGUGAAAUUCGUAGAUAUUCGGAGGAACACCAGUGGCGAAGGCGGCUCACUGGCUCGAUACUGACGCUGAGGUGCGAAAGCGUGGGGAGCAAACAGGAUUAGAUACCCUAGUAGUCC